AUGUGCUUGUGGUUAUGCCUGAUAAUGAUUUUGUACACAAAAUGGCUUAUGGGAUAUGAGGAUAAUGUGUAUAAAAAAUGAUUUUUGGUUAAUAUUUUGUAUGAUCCAUUUGACAGAAAAGAUUCCUGUUAUUUGUGGAGUUUAUACAACUCUUCUGUCAUCAUAGCUUAUUCAUGUUGGUAGUCCAGGUGCAAACACAAAAUUAAGUUUGUGUGCAUCUACAGGGAAGGUUCGCCUACAAAAUAGAGUUCACUUCGGUUAAAAAAAGUAAAUUUUACAUAAAAAAUGUUCUUGAAAGUUCAACUACAGUCACUAAGAAAGUUCGUACACUUUAUUUUCAGGAGUGUACAUCUUGCGCAUGCUGCUACUAAUCUCAACUUAUUGUCCAGUCAUACUAGUACUGAUGAAUAUCGAAUUGAUGAAAAAUGUAGUAUUACAAGAUAUUGUAGUACAAGACAAUGCACAUGAUAAUGCUCAGGCUUGAUGGUUAGAUAUUGUAGUCUCAUAAAUACGUGAUAAUGCUGCCAUGAUCUAUUAGAUAACUCAUCUCAGCAUGAUAAUGCUGCCAUGAUUUAUAUAAUUUUGUAAAGAAGAUCUAUAUGUGCAAGUUAUCUGAUAAAAGAAAGAAGAAAAUCCAAUUGCAAAUUUAGGGAAACAUGUGUACCUUGAGAAAAGUUUACAAAAUAAAUGCUAGGAGGUUCAUUUCGUGUUCGUUUAAAUGUCUUCAGUGCAAAUGUGGAGGGACGGUAAGUUCUACUACCAGUCUACGCCAAGUUCAGGGGCAUUGCCACUAAUGGAAAGGACAAUGAAUAAACGACGUCGGAUCAUAGGUCGAAGGAGGCCGGGUCAAGGCACCAUGACUGGAGCGCCCUGGCCGAUCACAGCUACCACCGCAGGCCGUUCAACGCUACCUCCGCAGGCGGUUCAUCGCAAAAACAGCGACCUGGAUCCCGCUGGUUCCCACCAGCAACGCCCGUUCGAGCACGUCGUCACUCUCCUGCUGCAGCGUGGCUCAGCUACUGCACUUGGUGGAGGUCAGAGCCUUUCCUCUAGUUUCCUCUAGUUUUGAACUUCAUGGAUCCUUAUUAGGCUACCAUUUAGUAUUGUGGUACUCCGUUGCAAGAAAAUUGUGGUACUCCGUUGCCACAAUUUCUUUUUCUCCUCUCUUGGGAGAAGGUGUGAUUUUUGGACAUUGACAUACAUGUUGAUUGUUCUUUCUGGGCGGUGUGUGCUGAUUCAAGGGCGUGAUGGAGGUUGGUAACAGGGGCGAUUCGGCCAUGGAGGUGGAGGCAGAAGUGAGCCUGUUCGCGGCGGAGACCUCCGGUUCCCCGGUCCCCAGCGGCGUGGGCUCAUCGACCAGGCGGCUGGGCCUCAAGAACAGCAUCCAGACCAACUUCGGCGAUGACUACGUCUUCCAGAUUGCUUCUUGGUAGGCAGAUAAGAACAGAGAAUGGUGUAGCUUCAGUCUAGCUUCCAGCAAGUUUUUCCUUCCCGUUGCUCAUAACUGAAUGAACCUGUUGAUAAAAAUACAUGUUACGGUACUUGAUAUAUAUAGUUGCAUCUAAUUUCGUACAUCUCAUGACAAGCCAGGAGAUCUCAACGCUCGUAGUGUCCCUAUCAACAAACACACUCAAGUUCUAUGCUCCUGCAACUGGACAGUAUUUGGGGGAAUGCACAGGCCAUAAGGGGAGUAUCCAUGAGAUUGCCUUUUCAGCUCCGUCUUCGCUGCAAGUGAUAUGCUCUUGCUCUGGUGAUGGAACUAUCAGAGCCUGGGACACAAGGAGCUUCAAGCAGGUCCCCCCUACCACUUUGUGAUUUUUGAAUACUCAUGUUGGUUAUACAUGGUUACUUUCUUUUAAUAUUAUAUAAAUUUCGAGCCAUCACUAUGUUUCUCAGUUUCUGUAUGGUAAAUAUUUUGUACUUUCAUUAAGUGUUAAUUCUUGUGAUGCUUGGUUUG